rnacentral:rRNA from 1 species
UAUUAUUUAUCUAUAUAUUAAUGAUCUGAUAAUAUUGAUUAUAAGAUUAAGUUACCUUAGGGAUAACAGCGUAAUUUUUUUUGAGAGUUCAUAUUGAUAAAAAAGUUUGCGACCUCGAUGUUGGAUUAAAGAUUAGUUUAGGUGCAAAAGUUUAAAUUUUUGGUCUGUUCGACCAUUAAAUCUUUACAUGAUCUGAGUUCAGACCGGUUUAAGCCAGGUCGGUUUCUAUCUUUAUAAAAUUAAUAUAUUUUAGUACGAAAGGACCAAAUAUAAAUUAUAAUUAAUUGAUAUUUGAAUAAUAUU